GAAAGAGUUGUACGUAAUAAAUAAAAGAAGAAAUAACUUACCUGUCAGCGGAGGCGGGAGGAAGGAAGGCGAACGACGAACCCUAGCCGCCUGAGGAAGGAACGCCCCUGAUCGAUCCUCAAGGUACCCUCACAAAAAUAUCCACAGACUGCAGUCGGAUCAAUGGUGUAUGUGUUUGUGUGUGUCAAUGGUAGGCCGGGAGAGAUCUCAGACCCGCAAGGUAGGCUCGGCAAAACCUACGAAAUCUCCACGGCUGCACUAACCAAUUGUGCGAGUAGGAUUAGAGUCGGAGUCUGCUACUUGUUUAGUACUAGUACGAGUAGGAUUAGGUUGUUUGGUCGGUUGUUCAUGUAUAUAUAUAUAUNAAGACAAAUAAGGAGAGAAAAAAGAGGACACGGCAAGGGCUCUUGGCUACAAGCUUUUGUCUGUUCGUCCUUCUUUGCUGUGAUCCAUCUUGUGGACGAAUCCUAACACACAUACAUACACAGUUCUCGUGAAUCAAUCUAGCUCGCUCCUGGUGAAAUUAAGCAAGACCAGCGAAGAUCCAUGGCGGUGGCGCUUCGAUGUGCGGCAAGAAGGCUCGGUGGCUCCCUGCAGCUCCAGCAAACGCAGGCGCCGCUCAUGCCAAGCAGGUUCAUGUCCUCCCGCCAGCUCUCCGGCGAGGUCUCUACCGAGGUAUCUUAACCAAAACUGACAUCUUUUUUCAAAUGAUCUAUGUAUCUCACGGCAUCAAGUACCGACGUAACCAGUGAUUAUCGAAUUCUAUGCAAUCGAAACAGCAGCUACUAGAAACAAGAGCAAAAUUAAUUACUUAUCGUCGUUAACUUUUUAAACCUGACCUGAACCUUUACAUCCUGGCUUAGUAGUAGGAGAACUGCAUGCAAAUCAUAUCAUAAGCAGCCUUAUUUUUCCCUGGUUUAUCUUUUUUUUUAAUUAUAAAGCCCUGGUUUAUCUGAGAACAAUCAAUUGUAAAUCAAUAACUGUAACGCAUAAGAUAAAUGUUGCCGUGGUUUUGAUAUCAUGAACCAUCUCAUCUGCUGCUUGAUAUGCACUUCCUAGUUCCUAGUAUGAUUCUGUGACUUCAUUGAUCCAUACACAGUAGAAUGAUUAUGUGACUAGUUAUUACACAUGCAUGAUGCAUAAGGAAUUCUAUAUAUAUCAAACCUCACUUAAUUAAGAGUAAUUAUUUACCAUUCACAAUCAGUGCUUACUUAAUGAUGGACGAUGCAAAUUAAGUACAAUGAUCAUUAUCUAUGUGUUUGAAUCCAGCAAGCUCGUGCACACUUUACACGCCGGGUUCAGCAGAAGAAGGAGGAGCUGUAUGAUGCGGUGUCUAAGGCAGAGCAGAAGAAGCAGGAGCUGUUCGAUGUGUUAUGUGAGGAGGAGCAGGCUGCAGUCGUGGAGGAGGGACGCCGGCUUGUGUCAAGCAAGGUAUACGAACCAAACAUGCAUGGUAUCUUUUUUCUCAUGAUUUAUGUAUCUCACGACAUCAAGCAUCGAUGUAGCCUGGGAUAAUCAAAUUAUAUGCAAUCCAAAGAGCAACGUGCAUGCGUAUCUUGUAUUAGCUACUAGCUGGAAACAAGAGCAAAAUUACUUACUCUUACUUAUCAUCGUUAUGAUUGUUAAACCUGACCUGAACAUGUACAUCCUGAUGUACUGCUACAUGUAGCAACAGGACUGCAUGCAAAUCAUAUCAUUAAGCAACUUAUUUCUCCUGGUUGAUCUGAGCAUCACUUUUUACUCAUCCCUUUAGCAAUCAUUGAUUACAACGUACUAUAAGAUAAGUUGCUGCGGUUGGGUAUCUUGAACGCAAUUGAUGCACUUCCUAUACUGGUCAGUUAUUUCUUUACUAAGCACGGACACUGUUAGUCGAUCAAUCUACUGCCGAAAUCGAUCCAUCCAUAUAAACUGAUUUUCAGCUAAUCCAAUGAACAAGGCCCUUACUUAAUUAGCAACCAAAGCAGACAUACAUUAUAUAUUAGUUCCAUCUAUAUACAGUAACUAUGGGAUAUUUUGAACCUCAGUUAAUUCUUCUUAUUAAUUAUUUACCAAUUACAAUCAGCACUUACUUAAUGCUCAACUAUGCAAAUUAAGUACAUCGAUCGUUAUCUAUGUGUACCAAUCCAGCAUGCUCGUGCACACUCUAGAUGCCAGAUCCAGCAGAAGGAGGAGGAGCUGUAUGAUGCGUUUUCUAAGGCUAAUGAGCAGCAUCUUUCAGCACAAGCCGCGGAAAAAACGCCAUUUGACAUUAUGUAAGAUCUCCUUCCUUAAUUUCCUGUUUGUUUGUUUGACAGGAGUUGUAUAUAUCUCAUUUGACCAACCCUCUCUGCAUGCAGGCGUUUUAGGAAGUACACACAAAUGGCUCGUGGUGUGCUAGAUUUGGCUUGCAAGGCAACAUUUUUCGUUUAUGGUGGUGCUUUCCUUUAUGGUAUCACUGGCGCCGACAGGAUGUUGGGGUUUCCAAGGAAAGUCUAUGAGGUCAAGAGAGAAGAUUAAGAACCAAAGAUGACCCCAUCUUGUUUUAAGUUUAACUAGCAAAAAGGCCGUGCGUUGUAACAGGAGAACAAAAUACCACACGUUUCUAAUUCAAUAAUUAUGACUGGACACCUUAGUAUGUAUGUGUAUANAUGGAUAUAUAUAUAUAUCCAUCUCCUCUAUUUACCGCUUGUCAUCCUUUCCACCCUCGUCGAUGGUG
rnacentral:lncRNA from 1 species